rnacentral:rRNA from 1 species
CAGCAGCCACGGGAAUACGAAGGGUGCAAGCGUUAAUCGGAAUUACUGGGCGUAAAGCGUGCGUAGGCGGUUUGUUAAGUCUGCUGUGAAAUCCCCGGGCUCAACCUGGGAAUGGCAGUGGAUACUGGCAAGCUAGAGUGUGUCAGAGGAUGGUGGAAUUCCCGGUGUAGCGGUGAAAUGCGUAGAGAUCGGGAGGAACAUCAGUGGCGAAGGCGGCCAUCUGGGACAACACUGACGCUGAAGCACGAAAGCGUGGGGAGCAAACAGGAUUAGAGACCCCCGUAGUCCCUGUCUCUUAUAC